rnacentral:rRNA from 1 species
GACGAACGCUGGCGGCGUGCUUAACACAUGCAAGUCGAACGUGAUUUUUGUGGAAAUUCUUUCGGAAAUGGAAAUGAAAUGAAAGUGGCGAACGGGUGAGUAACACGUGAGCAACCUACCUUACACAGGGGGAUAGCCGUUGGAAACGACGAUUAAUACCGCAUGAGACCACAGAAUCGCAUGAUAUAGGGGUCAAAGAUUUAUCGGUGUAAGAAGGGCUCGCGUCUGAUUAGCUAGUUGGAAGGGUAAAGGCCUACCAAGGCGACGAUCAGUAGCCGGUCUGAGAGGAUGAACGGCCACAUUGGAACUGAGACACGGUCCAAACUCCUACGGGAGGCAGCAGUGGGGAAUAUUGCACAAUGGGGGGAACCCUGAUGCAGCGACGCCGCGUGAGCGAAGAAGGUUUUCGAAUCGUAAAGCUCUGUCCUAUGAGAAGAUAAUGACGGUAUCAUAGGAGGAAGCCC